GAGGCCAGGCCUCUCUCUGUGGGAGUGCUCUGCACUUUUAACUGAGUAGCUGUUCUUGGAAAACUUCCAGCACAUGUGGCUCUUACCUGCUCCUGGGACAGCCUCAUACACUCUGCUGCUGUUAUGGACUGAAUUGUCCCUCAACUUCAUACAUGAAGCUUUAACCCCAGAUGUGAUGGUAUCGUGAGAUGGUGUGGCUCUGCUGCAGCAUCCCCCACGCUGUGAUCCUGUCAGACAGCAGGUGCAGGAACGCCUUCACCAAAGAGCAAAUGGGUAAUACAGGAGGAGAACACACUCAAUGAAUUGGCUAAAGACCUCUACAGUGGAGACAGAUGCCCACGAACUCCUUUUCAAUCAUGUUGUCCAUUCCUUCAAUAUCUGCACAGUGCUUGGGGAAAUGUAAUCUUCAGAACAAGCUCUCAUUCUCCGGAGCUUCUGACCUAUGAGUAUUCCAAACAUGUUAGAUCCUAACUGUAACCAAGAAACACUACGAAGCUGUAAAAGGAAUGUAGUACUCCAGGUAUGCAGAUGGUCUCACCCAGUUGUACAGGCUGACCCUGAAUUUGUGAACCUCCUGUUUCAAGCUCUGGAAUCACUGGUAUUACAGAUUCCUGAAUAAUACACUUACCUUCAUACUGCUUUUUUACUGUGUUUCCUAUAUCUGCAAAUUUCCGGUCUUCAAAUAUUAAAAACUCAUGUUGUUCUGCCAGAGUGGUCAA